ACACCCUGGUGCUUUGGGUUGGACUUCAGGAAGAGCCUCAGCUCUGCCACCCUGCCCAUCACCUUCCGCUAUCUGGAGGAUACAAAUGGCGUAGACAAGAGGGUGACGCGCUUCAUGCUCCCCGUGGGCGCCAUGGACGGGACGGAGGUCUACGAGGCUGUGGCGGCUAUCCUCACAUGGACCUCAACUUUGGCCAGGUCAUUACCAUCAGAGAUCAUCUGAGGACCACCACUAGCGUGCUGGGUGACUCUCUGGGGGUGGGCAUCGUGGAGCAUCUCUCUAGAUUGCAGCAGUGGACCCUUUAGUUAGAGAGGUAAACCCCUCCUGCACACAGAGAAUAACACAGCCUGCCACCAGUUUAGAGAGAGCUCUUUGUGAGGCUUGUAUAUAAGUUUCAUGUGAACCUUGUGCAUGAAGCCAUGUCCAGGAAAUGUGAUAUUGUUGGAUGCUCAGAGACAUAAUGUGACCAAUAGUACCCGCAAAACACCAGUCAACAGUGAAGAGGCGACUCCGGGAUGCUGGCCUUCUAGGCCGAGUUCCUCAGUCCAGUGACUGUGUUCUUUUUCCCAUCUUAAUCUUUUCUUUUUAUUGGCCAGUCUGAGAUAUGGCUUUUUCUUUGCAACUCUGCCUAGAAGGCCAGCAUCCCGGAGUCGCCUCUUCACUGUUGAUGUUGAGACUGGUGUUUUGCGGCUACUAU
rnacentral:lncRNA from 8 species